GCGCCGGUGGUGUAAGGCGAACAUCGCUGCCCGGAAAGCAGAAGAUGCGGGUUCGAGUCCCGGCUGGCGCA
rnacentral:tRNA from 1 species